rnacentral:rRNA from 1 species
CCUACGGGGGGCAGCAGUGGGGAAUAUUGGACAAUGGGCGAAAGCCUGAUCCAGCCAUGCCGCGUGUGUGAAGAAGGCCUUCGGGUUGUAAAGCACUUUCAGUGGGGAAGAAAGCCUUGGGGCUAAUACCCUCGAGGAAGGACAUCACCCACAGAAGAAGCACCGGCUAACUCAGUGCCAGCAGCCGCGGUAAUACGGAGGGUGCGAGCGUUAAUCGGAAUUACUGGGCGUAAAGCGCGCGUAGGCGGUCUGAUAAGCCGGUUGUGAAAGCCCCGGGCUCAACCUGGGAACGGCAUCCGGAACUGUCAGGCUAGAGUGCAGGAGAGGAAGGUAGAAUUCCCGGUGUAGCGGUGAAAUGCGUAGAGAUCGGGAGGAAUACCAGUGGCGAAGGCGGCCUUCUGGACUGACACUGACGCUGAGGUGCGAAAGCGUGGGUAGCAAACAGGAUUAGAUACCCCGGUAGC